CUUCAGAAAUCAUUCUUAUACGCCGAUUUGCUGCCCAAGCAACAUUUCUUAUUAUUUUAAAUGUUAAAGUAAAACUGAUACAUUUUUCCUCAGGAUUCUUUAAUAAGAACUUUCUUUCAGACACAAAUUGUUGACCCCAAACUUUCAAAAGGUAGUUGGUUUUAUUUAGUCAUAAAAACAUUAACUACACUCAUCAGGAAUCCUCGGAUCGUUUCAAACAGAACCAUCUAUCUUGCAUUUAUCACUUGAUGUUUUAUUUAUAUAAACCAAACUGGGAAUGAGACCUCUGGGAAGCAGCAGCAGUCGUACGGACGUGCCAUGAAUGGAUGUCAUUAGCCGCCCAGACGAUGUGCUGUCCAGUCUGACCUCGGUGAAAGUCUACAACUUUUGAGCGGCAGCCAUGUUGAGUGUGAUUCAUAUUUGGGUUUUAAUUUGUCCUCCUUUAAAAGGGGAACGCUGGGUGCUGCGGUUUUCUCAUUAACAGGACAUGAAAGGAGCUGUAAAGAGAGCAGUGGUGAAACUGGCCCACACUGACGUCUGUGCGUUCACACACAUGGACAAACAGACUCUUUAGACGGGCCUGGUCUCACAUCCACUGCAGAGGUCAUAACUAUCUUAAGCAUCUCAACCCACCCAAGAUGUCAUCCACUCAUUUUAGACAUGCAAACAUAAAAUAUCUACUGAUAUAAACUACUGUUUGGGGAGUUACUACUUAUCAGUGAGCAUAAAUUCCAAGAGGAGAGAAGAAAAGAAGGAUGCGAGGGAAAUGAGAAGGAGGAAGAGAAGAAGACACACACACACACACACACACACACACACACAAGGACAGCCCAUAUUGAUUGCUUUUAUGAAGUGAGAAGAGGAGAAGUGUGUAUGUGUUCAAAUUACAGAGCAAUUUUAUAUAUUAAGUUUUCAUUUUAGGCUUAUUGCAUUCAAAUCUCAUUUUCAAAUGCUUGACCAGAAUUUUAGUACAUAUUAAUGUUGCCCAGAGAAUGUGCUCUUUGAAUUUUUUUUUUACUUUAGGGUGUGUGUGUGUGUGUGUGUGUGUGUGUGUGUGUGUGUGUCCUUUCAUGGUCGGUGCUCCAUC
rnacentral:lncRNA from 1 species